CGCUAGUAAUCGCGCAUCAGCCAUGGCGCGGUGAAUACGUUCCCGGGCCUUGUACACACCGCCCGUCAAGCCAUGGGAGGCCGGGGGUGCCUGAAGUUCGUGACCGCAAGGAGCGACCUAGGGCAAAACUGGUGACUGGGGCUAAGUCGUAACAAGGUACC
rnacentral:rRNA from 1 species